UAUUAGAAAAUUCAUUCAUUUCUACUAUUAAAAAUUGGUAUUACUGACAGAAUAAUCAAAUAGUAAUUUGUGGUGUGCCAUGUGUGUUUCAUGCUGACACUAGUUUUUAACGAUAGAAAUGGAUAAAAUUUUUAACA
rfam:Gossypium hirsutum cultivar TM-1 chromosome 19, whole genome shotgun sequence